UUGACAGGUUUGUGGAGUAAACACUAACAGGUCUUUCUUUUUCAUGCCAUUUGGUCUAAAAAAAAAUAAAUGCAUAUACAUGCAAUAUAUGCAUAUAAUUACUUAAGUAAGAUAUAUGUAGCCAUAUUCAAUGAAUGAGCUAAUGACUGGUAUUAAUGCUGAUACAUUAACCUAGCAAAGAUCAUCAGGACAGAAAUAUGGACAUUGUACGUGUCUGUAAAAAGCUGCAGUAGGAUACAUUUGCCCCUAACCAAUCUUAAAACGUUUUAAGUCUGUCCUACUAACAUGUCUGUGGAGGCAUAUGUCACGGAGUGACUGUGACGGGGCGGAACCAAAAAUGAGGAAGAUUAGUUCCGCCCGGACCAUAUAUCGCAAACACCGCCGCUUCCGGGAACGCUGGCGAACCCAAAUCGGCGUGUUAUUGGGAACAGGUGUUUAGUUGAGCGUGGCGAUCCCUGAUUGGGCAAUUUGUUGAAGAGGAGAAAUAGGGCAUCAGAAACACAGGAAGUGGUUGGUGAUUCCCAGUAGUUAUUGUGGGUGCAACGGAGCAGAGGGGAGAGUUGAAGAGAGAGUGUAUGGUGUACUGUGGAGCUUGGGCAAAGAGAGAUACACACACAGGGCUGAGUAUACGAAUAUCUUUAUUGGAGCAUUGUGUUCAAAUGCAUUGUGUGAUGUGAAGUUAACACCCAUUGAAGAUCUGCUAGGAUUGCAGGAAGGAGAUCGUGCUCCCAGUUGUGUCGGAUGUCGGUUGUCUGGAGGAGAAGUGGAAAGAUCCAGUGUUAAUGAAAGUUGUGAGCGGCCCCACCGUAAUCGGAUUGGUGGGUGAGCCGGGACCAGCAAAAAAGGAGUCUGGUGCCUUGUCGUGGCUGUGACAUUUCCACUGGCUGUCUGUUGCAUCGGUGCCCCCAACGUCCAGGAACUAAUCCCCGGUCCUAUGUGGUUUUGACCCAAAUUCACUGUGAGUUUGUGGAGUGCAGUGGGCUGGGAGAGAAAACCCUGUGGAGAAGAACGUGAACCGGUGUUGUGAGACGACCGUCUUUUAUAAACAUGCCCGCUCGUGGCUUUGGACCCCUACUCCGCCGAGUGGUGACGUGUCAACAAUAGCAAGUAAGGAACAGUGUGCAUAUUGUGGGGGAUGACGACUGAGAGAAGUAUUGGCUGCUAUAUGAACAUCCAGCUGUGUAGCCCUUGUGUAUGAAUACCUGUUUGUGGAGUGCUUUCAGAGGUUCGCCCCUGUCUAGAUCUCUGGUCCGUUAUCUGGAAGAGAGGAGAGGGAAGCAUUCGAGUCAUUCCUGAGGUACAUAACUGGUGGCACAAACCUACAUGAAGUCACCCAGCGUGGUGGCACCAGCUGAGGCUGUGGAAGGCCCAACGUGCAGCAACUUCAAUCUGUACUUCUAUCCACUCUUGGUCAAAUUCGAGAGGUGGUGUCUUUCUCCAUAUAUUCACUGAAGCUAAGUAA